AUUGAACGCUGGCGGCAUGCCUAACACAUGCAAGUCGAACGAGUGGCGGACGGGUGAGUAAUGUCUGGGAACCUGCCCGAUGGAGGGGGAUAACUACUGGAAACGGUAGCUAAUACCGCAUACCAUCGGAUGUGCCCAGAUGGGAUGAGCUAGUAGGUGGGGUAACGGCUCACCUAGGCGACGAUCCCUAGCUGGUCUGAGAGGAUGACCAGCCACACUGGAACUGAGACACGGUCCAGACUCCUACGGGAGGCAGCAGUGGGGAAUAUUGCACAAUGGGCGAAAGCCUGAUGCAGCCAUCCCGCGUGUAUGAAGAAGGCCUUCGGGUUGUAAAGUACUUUUAGCGGGGAGGCGUUACCUGCAGAAUAAGCACCGGCUAACUCCGUGCCAGCAGCCGCGGUAAUAC
rnacentral:rRNA from 1 species